GGCGGCGCGCCACUUUCAUUGUCGAAAAUCAUUUGAGGACGUUAUUUUAUUUGCGAAACCCAGUGGUGUGGCUGUGGCACUCCGGGGUCUCGCUUGGAUACCAGGGAAAGCGCGCAUAGCUAUUAAGCGAAAGUUCAACUUGAGUCGCCGUGGUUUUCGGGGCGUCGCGAGGCGUCGCGGACUCUCAAACUCAAGGAUGAGGACGUGUUGUGCAUCGACCGUUCUGUUGUCUGUCUAUAGAAAUUGACAAAGAAGCGGUAUUGUUUUGACUGUGCCAAGAUUCCAGCUCACUGGCUUCUCAAGCAGGCUCUGUGAAUUUUUUUCGUUACGUGACACAGCAGCUCUUAAAGGGGUUGAUUAAGCUUCUCGCUGUCGGCUUCCCCAGAGCUGUACAACUCUCUCGUGUCCAUCCAAGGUUGCCAGCAUUGCUGCCGGCUGUGCGACUACACGACUGAAAGAAGGGAUCACAUGUAUAGGCACCUGUACAAACACACGGGCGAGCGUCCCUUCAAGUGCCACUUGUGCACUAAGGCAUUCACUCAGGAGUUCAAGCUCAACCAGCACAUGCGGACCCACACAGGAGAGCGUCCCUUCUCCUGUGACCUCUGCAAUGCGUCCUUUUCACGAAGAGACCACCUCAAUUACCACUUGACCACCCAUGCGAAAAACAGGCCCUAAAGAUCAUGUACGCGUAUUAUCUCAUAGAUCAAGCGCUUCAUUCUAACCUUAACAGUAGAGUUGUUUAAGCUGAAAGAAACUUCAAGUUGCGAACCAGAAUGUUCAUCAUAAUAAAUCAGCAUGCUUUCUCUUUGGCC